AGUUGUGUUGCUUUCAUACUUUGAUCAGGAAGUUAGUUGAUUAGCCGGGAGCAGCAAGCGCGCAUCAUAUUAUUCUUUCAUGCAUGCGCUAGAAAUCCCGACUGAAAACAUUUCCUCUACUUUCAGCCGCAGGUUUCCGAUUCGCACGCUAGGCGAUCUAAUGAUCCGGAGGAGGAAAUCGCUGCGCGAUGCCACUAUACAUCUUCUUGUGUGGAUGACGCAAUCUUCAAGCUCAGUGAUGAUGUCUAUGUGAAGGCUGGUCCGAAUGAGGAAAACUACAUUGGCCGGAUUACAUAGUUUUUUGAAGGGACAGAUAAUGGAUUAUAUUUCACAUGCCGUUGGUUUUUCCGUGUGGAAGAUACGGUUAUCUCACAGGAGUUGCUGGAUGUCCAUGAUCAUAAUCAUGACCCAAAGCGUGUAUUCCUUUCAGAGGAAAAGAAUGACAAUGUCAUUGAGUCAAUAAUUUCUAAAGUAAAUAUCAUUUAUGUUGAUCCAAGUAAGACACCUCAAGAAAGAGAUCAGUUAAUAUCAAAUUCUGAUUUGUAUUACGAAAUGUCUUACUCGGUUGCAUAUUCAACAUUUGAAACUAUUCCAGCAGAAAAUGAUGGUGCAACAGACAGUGAAGUAGCAUCAGAUAUUUCCUGUGAAGAGGGGAAACCAGUGGCUGACCCUGCGGCAUCAUCUAGUGCACGAAGGGAAACAACAACUCUGCUGGAUCUUUAAUCUGGAUGUGGUGCCAUGUCAACCGGGCUUUGCCUGGGUGCUGCAUUGUCCGGCAUAAAUCUAAAUACUAAAUGGGCUGUGGACAUGAAUGAAUAUGCUUGUGAAAGUCUAAAGCAUAACCAUCCUAGCACCCAGGCGCCUAAUGCAAACAUAUAGAUACAAGUUCAUAAGUCAGGAGCAAAUCCUUUUUCCGGUCCUAAGAUAAAAUUUAUAUUUCCAAUUGUUACAUCUAUUACUUCUUCUUAGUAAGUUGUUGGUUAUUUCCAAGAAGCAGUUUAAGUAGCAAGUUUUCUCGUUUGUUGGUCGUACAACACUAACACUAAUUAACAGCCAGCCAUGACCAUCGAUUUUAUUUUAUUUUAGUUUCCUAUUAUUUUUCUGGCUAAGUGAAAUAUAUCUGAAGCUAUUUACACCCGGCGCAACGCACGAGCCCAUUGCAAUGUGGUUUUUAGUGGUAUUAUUUCAGGUGUCUAAGCCUAUAUUUAUUUUUUUACACCCGAUGCAACGCACGGGCCCUUUUGCUA